rnacentral:rRNA from 1 species
GGAAUAUUGGACAAUGGGGGAAACCUUGAUCCAGCGACGCCGCGUGGGUGAUGAAGGCCUUCGGGUCGUAAAGCCCUGUCUGGGGGGACGAAUCCCCUGCCGGUGAACAAUCGGCAGGAAUGACGGUACCCCCGAAGGAAGCACCGGCUAACUCUGUGCCAGCAGCCGCGGUAAGACAGAGGGUGCGAGCGUUGUUCGGAAUUACUGGGCGUAAAGGGCGCGUAGGCGGUCUGUUAAGUUCGGUGUGAAAGCCCUCGGCUCAACCGGGGAAGUGCGCCGGAUACUGAUAGACUCGAGUACCGGAGAGGAGGGUGGAAUUCCUGGUGUAGCGGUGAAAUGCGUAGAUAUCAGGAGGAACACCGGUGGCGAAGGCGGCCCUCUGGACGAGUACUGACGCUGAGGUGCGAAAGCGUGGGGAUCAAAC